UUGAGAAGAAAGUAGUGUUUGAGAUUUGAACUCAAACUUGAGAAAAAUAACCAUUACCAGGUUUCUUCGAAAAGUAUUAGAUACUUUAGAGUUGGAAGUGAUAGCAGUAAAAGUUUUGUGGGCAAAUUUUCACUGCAGUAAAUUUAUUAAUAGAAAUUUGGAAAGAAUGUAAACAUCUGAGAAUAAGGGAAAUGGGUGAAUUAUGGCUCAUCCAUAAGAUGGAAAUGCAGUGGCCCAUGAGUGUUUGGCCCGUUGACAUGACUAUUAUCUAUUGCCCACACAAAGCAGUUUGAAGUCAGCAAAGUCUAGAGUCAUAGAGCCCUGGGAUACAGCUGUGGAUGGGAAGCCCUUCUGGAUGGAGGCUAAAAGUAGGCAGACAGAGCCAGGCAGUAGCUCUUUCACAAAGGCGACCUGUGGCCAAACAAAUAGGGGACUGGGCAAAUGUUGGGUUGGAUCAGCUUCCAGGAGGUUCCCAGUGGGGCAUCUCCUAAACCUGAGUACAUCUUUCCUGGUGCUCAGCUCUGGUCAGACUCAUGACCCAAAAAGUCAUGCUCCAUCCUGUCCUCUUCACCUCUUUCGGCACCCCCACUCCUUAUCCAUGGCCCCACUCUGCCCCCUGGGGUCUCAAGAAUCUUGGAGGUAAAACUAGAGAGUUGACUAUUCUUAAUAUUUGCAUUCCUGCUGUAAUCCUAGUUCUCCUUUAGGCAAUGCUGAUUCUUGGGAAGGUGGAUCAGUUUCCUUAAGAGACCAACAGGGCUGAGUGGAAACUUGCUGAUCCCUCAGCCCAGAUGUCUCCCCAUCCCUGAGGAGUCCAGAAAUCUGCAUUAAAACAAAAAUCCUAGUAAUUUCAACACUGAGCUAGAUUCGGCAACCACCGGUCAAUCUAAGUAUUUUAAUAGUCUUCCCUAGACCCCCACUGCUGUAAUUACAUAUUGCUACCAGAGUGAUCCUUCUAAAAUGAAAAACUAAGAAGGCCAUCCCUCUGGUCAAAAUCCUUCCAUCAUUCCCCAUUUUCUGGAGGAUAAAAUCUAAAAUCCGUAUCUUGGCAUGAUUGGCCCAUGGUUAUUUUUUGAGCCUAUUUUCCUACCAUCUUUCCCAUUCAUCACCUUCUCCAACCUAUCAUCAGCACAAUACUGUGUGCUAGGUGCUGUCCCCACCCCUUUAUUAUGUUCUCUGGCUUAUUCCUCCCAAGAACCCCAUGAAGCAUGUAUUACAGAUGAUGAAUGUGAGGUGUAAGCAAUUAUGUCCUUGGCCACCGUCACCUAGCUGGUAAAUAAGAGUCCCGAUCCCUCUGACACCAGACUGAGCUCUUUGCUGCACCAUCUGACAAUUUUGCAAACGACUUGAAGUUCCUUGAAAGCUGCUUGCCCUUCCCUUCCAAAGCCCCUUCUGUCUCAGGAGGGUCUCAUUGCUGUUGUUGGCAUUUCAGAUCAGCUGCAGUUUACAACAGUGGACCACGAGCCUAACCCCACUUCCCUCACCACCACCCCCCCCCCGAAUAUAAGCAGCUUGGAGUGAGGAAGUUUGACUACUAGGUGCUACUGCCCCAGAAGGGAAAUGAUCUCUUUUGGGCCGUUUCCCAGAUAAAUGAUGGGGACCAAAGUGUUGGUGGGG
rnacentral:lncRNA from 1 species